rnacentral:rRNA from 1 species
AGAGUUUGAUCCUGGCUCAGGAUGAACGCUAGCGGCAGGCUUAACACAUGCAAGUCGAGGGGUAUAUGUCUUCGGAUAUAGAGACCGGCGCACGGGUGCGUAACGCGUAUGCAAUCUACCUUUUACAGGGGAAUAGCCCAGAGAAAUUUGGAUUAAUGCCCCAUAGUAUUAUGAAAUGGCAUCAUUUUAUAAUUAAAGUCACAACGGUAAAAGAUGAGCAUGCGUCCCAUUAGUUAGUUGGUAAGGUAACGGCUUACCAAGACAAUGAUGGGUAGGGGUCCUGAGAGGGAGAUCCCCCACACUGGUACUGAGACACGGACCAGACUCCUACGGGAGGCAGCAGUGAGGAAUAUUGGACAAUGGGCGCAAGCCUGAUCCAGCCAUGCCGCGUGCAGGAAGACGGUCCUAUGGAUUGUAAACUGCUUUUAUACAGGAAGAAACACUCCGACGUGUCGGAGCUUGACGGUACUGUAGGAAUAAGGAUCGGCUAACUCCGUGCCAGCAGCCGCGGUAAUACGGAGGAUCCAAGCGUUAUCCGGAAUCAUUGGGUUUAAAGGGUCCGUAGGCGGUUUAAUAAGUCAGUGGUGAAAUCUGGUCGCUCAACGAUCAAACGGCCAUUGAUACUGUUAGACUUGAAUUAUAAGGAAGUAACUAGAAUAUGUAGUGUAGCGGUGAAAUGCUUAGAUAUUACAUGGAAUACCAAUUGCGAAGGCAGGUUACUACUUAUGGAUUGACGCUGAUGGACGAAAGCGUGGGGAGCGAACAGGAUUAGAUACCCUGGUAGUCC